UACGAAGGGGGCUAGCGUUGUUCGGAAUUACUGGGCGUAAAGGGCGCGUAGGCGGUGGAUCAAGUCAGGCGUGAAAGCCCCGGGCUCAACCUGGGAACCGCGCUUGAGACUGGUGCGCUAGAGUUCGGGAGAGGAUGGUGGAAUUCCCAGUGUAGAGGUGAAAUUCGUAGAUAUUGGGAAGAACGCCGAUGGCGAAGGCAGCCAUCUGGACCGACACUGACGCUGAGGCGCGAAAGCGUGGGGAGCAAACAGG
rnacentral:rRNA from 1 species